UGCUGCUGAUGAUUUCAUAGCUUGGAUCUCCAACUUUGUAGUAGUGGUCUUAGAUAUUUCUGGUAGGCAGGGUUCCCCUGUUGUAGAAAGAAGUGCAUUAGUAAGACAGAAUAUUUCUGUCAGGAUUAAUAACUUUUCAAAUUAAGUUGGGUUUUUUUGUUUCAAAAUGAACAUUACAUAAGAUUUUUAAUUUUAAAAAUUAUUUUUAAAAUUCAUUUUGUGUGAACAUAUGGAGAAACAUUUUUUUUCCAAAGGGCAUCCUUCAUUUUCUCCAGCAGAUUUUAAAUUGUGGAUGCAGGUGGCCAAUUAAAAAACACAGUUAUCAUUUGCUUUUGGAAUUUAACACAAAUAAAAGGCUCGACUCUAAGGCUCCUUGAAAUGGAACAUUAACCAUAAAGGAAUCAGAACGGUGGAAUCAGAUCCAAGGUCAUUUAUAAUCUCAGUUUCUAAGUUGCUUGCUGUACCUGUCACCUUUUUAGCAAGGGCUGUGGCCGCUUUUGUCAGACCCCAUUUAACAAGGUUUUGGAGCUGAAAGUUUUGGAGUUUGACGUGACCAAAGGGUGAAGGGAUAUUUUCUGAGGACUCCCACUCACCG